rnacentral:rRNA from 1 species
CAAGCGACUGUUUACCAAAAACAUAGGUUUCUGCUAAGUCGCAAGACGAUGUAUAGGAGCUGACGCCUGCCCGGUGCUGGAAGGUUAAGGGGAUCUGUUAGAGCAAUCGAAGCAGUGAACUUAAGCCCCAGUAAACGGCGGCCGUAACUAUAACGGUCCUAAGGUAGCGAAAUUCCUUGUCGGGUAAGUUCCGACCCGCACGAAAGGCGUAACGAUUUGGGCACUGUCUCAACAACAGACUCGGUGAAAUUGUAAUUCCGGUGAAGAUGCCGGAUACCUGCGACAGGACGGAAAGACCCCAUGGAGCUUUACUGUAGCUUGACAUUGGGUCUUGGUACUACAUGUACAGGAUAGGUGGGAGGCUUUGAAACCAGGACGCCAGUUUUGGCGGAGCCAUCCUUGGGAUACCACCCUUGUAGUACUGGGACUCUAACCAUAGGCCAUGAAUCUGGUCUUGGGACACUGUCAGGUGGGCAGUUUGACUGGGGCGGUCGCCUCCCAAAAGGUAACGGAGGCGCUCAAAGGUUCUCUCAGUACGGUCGGAAAUCGUACGUAGAGUGUAAAGGCAAAAGAGAGCUUGAUUGCAAGACAUACAGGUCGAGCAAGGAUGAAAAUCGGACUUAGUGAUCCGGUGGUUCUGCGUGGAAGGGCCAUCGCUCAACGGAUAAAAGCUACCCUGGGGAUAACAGGCUUAUCUCCCCCAAGAGUCCACAUCGACGGGGAGGUUUGGCACCUCGAUGUCGGCUCAUCACAUCCUGGGGCUGUAGUAGGUCCCAAGGGUUGGGCUGUUCGCCCAUUAAAGUGGUACGCGAGCUGGGUUCAGAACGUCGUGAGACAGUUCGGUCCCUAUCCGUCGCAGGCGUAGGAAAUUUGAGAAGACCUGUCCUUAGUACGAGAGGACC